rnacentral:lncRNA from 1 species
GGUAGAGAAGAAAUCUACAGCAAUGUUGCAGUGUUGCUACUAUAGCAAAGGAGGAAACUGCAACAGAGGAGGAAGCUGUAGUAGAAGAGGAAGCUGUAGCAAAAGAGGAAGGAAAAUAGCUACAACGAGGAAGAAAGGUGGGACAGUGCUGAUGAGCAGCACUAGAGAUGCCGUAGCGGAAAGGAACGGACGAUGGCGCAGAGUAGCAACACCAAUGAUGAAUUGGCAGCGAGAAGAGAGCUUACUCUAGGCAAGCGGCUCUGAUACCAUGAUAGAAAUAAUAGAAGAUAAGAACAAUAUAAUAUAAGAAGCUUUAUUGAAAUAGAGAAACUUUAGCUUGAAUCUAUUAACAUGUUCCCUCUCCUAUUUAUAGGAAUUAGGAGGAAGGAUUUCCCUAACAGAAUAGAAGAUUUUCCUCAACAGAAUAGAGAAAUUUCCUCAUAUAGUUAGGAAAAUCUUAUCUUCUAUCAC